UGGACAUCUUGGAUGACAUGGGGGAUUCUUGUAUGUGCUGAAGAGGAUACAGAUUCCCUGUGAUUAUGUCACGAGGUCCAGGGACCUGUAUGAUGUCAGAGGAAAAUGGCAGCCAGCAUGAGACUAAGGAACGCCGGAGCUGCAUGUCAGAUCUGGUGGGGAAGCAGGCGGCGUCAGUCAGCGGCCAGUCAGAUGGAACCGGAGAAGACGGGUGUAAGCUGUCCCACGAGAUCCCGCGCUUUGAUAACCCAGCAGGAGAAGCGCUGCGUGUGUGUGCUGCGAAUGCAUCUCCUCUCUUUCACCGUGUGUGUGUGUUAAAUGAUCCAUACAAAUGGUGUGAUUGUGCACAUGUGCUUUUGUGUUAGUGCUUAAGUGCACUAAGAGGAUGUUUAUUGGUUGUGUGUGUGUCUCUAACAUAGCUUCGCUGAAAAAAAGGGUUUUCAAACUUUUUGAUGCCAAGGACCCCAAAAAUACACAUCCUUCAGAAAUCAUUCUAAUUUUUUGGGGGGAAAAAAUAU